AAAGAAAUCAACCGAGAUUCCCCCAGUAGCGGCGAGCGAACGGGGAGGAGCCCAGAGCCUGAAUCAGUGUGUGUGUUAGUGGAAGCGUCUGGAAAGGCGCGCGAUACAGGGUGACAGCCCCGUACACAAAAAUGCACAUACUGUGAGCUCGAUGAGUAGGGCGGGACACGUGGUAUCCUGUCUGAAUAUGGGGGGACCAUCCUCCAAGGCUAAAUACUCCUGACUGACCGAUAGUGAACCAGUACCGUGAGGGAAAGGCGAAAAGAACCCCGGCGAGGGGAGUGAAAAAGAACCUGAAACCGUGUACGUACAAGCAGUGGGAGCCUCUUAAUGGGGUGACUGCGUACCUUUUGUAUAAUGGGUCAGCGACUUAUAUUCUGUAGCAAGGUUAACCGAAUAGGGGAGCCGAAGGGAAACCGAGUCUUAACUGGGCGUUAAGUUGCAGGGUAUAGACCCGAAACCCGGUGAUCUAGCCAUGGGCAGGUUGAAGGUUGGGUAACACUAACUGGAGGACCGAACCGACUAAUGUUGAAAAAUUAGCGGAUGACUUGUGGCUGGGGGUGAAAGGCCAAUCAAACCGGGAGAUAGCUGGUUCUCCCCGAAAGCUAUUUAGGUAGCGCCUCGUGAAUUCAUCUCCGGGGGUAGAGCACUGUUUCGGCAAGGGGGUCAUCCCGACUUACCAACCCGAUGCAAACUGCGAAUACCGGAGAAUGUUAUCACGGGAGACACACGGCGGGUGCUAACGUCCGUCGUGAAGAGGGAAACAACCCAGACCGCCAGCUAAGGUCCCAAAGUCAUGGUUAAGUGGGAAACGAUGUGGGAAGGCCCAGACAGCCAGGAUGUUGGCUUAGAAGCAGCCAUCAUUUAAAGAAAGCGUAAUAGCUCACUGGUCGAGUCGGCCUGCGCGGAAGAUGUAACGGGGCUAAACCAUGCACCGAAGCUGCGGCAGCGACACUAUGUGUUGUUGGGUAGGGGAGCGUUCUGUAAGCCUGUGAAGGUGUACUGUGAGGUAUGCUGGAGGUAUCAGAAGUGCGAAUGCUGACAUAAGUAACGAUAAAGCGGGUGAAAAGCCCGCUCGCCGGAAGACCAAGGGUUCCUGUCCAACGUUAAUCGGGGCAGGGUGAGUCGACCCCUAAGGCGAGGCCGAAAGGCGUAGUCGAUGGGAAACAGGUUAAUAUUCCUGUACUUGGUGUUACUGCGAAGGGGGGACGGAGAAGGCUAUGUUGGCCGGGCGACGGUUGUCCCGGUUUAAGCGUGUAGGCUGGUUUUCCAGGCAAAUCCGGAAAAUCAAGGCUGAGGCGUGAUGACGAGGCACUACGGUGCUGAAGCGACAAAUGCCCUGCUUCCAGGAAAAGCCUCUAAGCAUCAGGUAACAUCAAAUCGUACCCCAAACCGACACAGGUGGUCAGGUAGAGAAUACCAAGGCGCUUGAGAGAACUCGGGUGAAGGAACUAGGCAAAAUGGUGCCGUAACUUCGGGAGAAGGCACGCUGAUAUGUAGGUGAAGCGACUUGCUCGUGGAGCUGAAAUCAGUCGAAGAUACCAGCUGGCUGCAACUGUUUAUUAAAAACACAGCACUGUGCAAACACGAAAGUGGACGUAUACGGUGUGACGCCUGCCCGGUGCCGGAAGGUUAAUUGAUGGGGUUAGCGGUAACGCGAAGCUCUUGAUCGAAGCCCCGGUAAACGGCGGCCGUAACUAUAACGGUCCUAAGGUAGCGAAAUUCCUUGUCGGGUAAGUUCCGACCUGCACGAAUGGCGUAAUGAUGGCCAGGCUGUCUCCACCCGAGACUCAGUGAAAUUGAACUCGCUGUGAAGAUGCAGUGUACCCGCGGCAAGACGGAAAGACCCCGUGAACCUUUACUAUAGCUUGACACUGAACAUUGAGCCUUGAUGUGUAGGAUAGGUGGGAGGCUUUGAAGUGUGGACGCCAGUCUGCAUGGAGCCGACCUUGAAAUACCACCCUUUAAUGUUUGAUGUUCUAACGUGGGCCCCUUACCGGGGUUGCGGACAGUGUCUGGUGGGUAGUUUGACUGGGGCGGUCUCCUCCUAAAGAGUAACGGAGGAGCACGAAGGUUGGCUAAUCCUGGUCGGACAUCAGGAGGUUAGUGCAAUGGCAUAAGCCAGCUUGACUGCGAGCGUGACGGCGCGAGCAGGUGCGAAAGCAGGUCAUAGUGAUCCGGUGGUUCUGAAUGGAAGGGCCAUCGCUCAACGGAUAAAAGGUACUCCGGGGAUAACAGGCUGAUACCGCCCAAGAGUUCAUAUCGACGGCGGUGUUUGGCACCUCGAUGUCGGCUCAUCACAUCCUGGGGCUGAAGUAGGUCCCAAGGGUAUGGCUGUUCGCCAUUUAAAGUGGUACGCGAGCUGGGUUUAGAACGUCGUGAGACAGUUCGGUCCCUAUCUGCCGUGGGCGCUGGAGAACUGAGGGGGGCUGCUCCUAGUACGAGAGGACCGGAGUGGACGCAUCACUGGUGUUCGGGUUGUCAUGCCAAUGGCACUGCCCGGUAGCUAAAUGCGGAAGAGAUAAGUGCUGAAAGCAUCUAAGCACGAAACUUGCCCCGAGAUGAGUUCUCCCUGACUCCUUGAGAGUCCUGAAGGAACGUUGAAGACGACGACGUUGAUAGGCCGGGUGUGUAAGCGCAGCGAUGCGUUGAGCUAACCGGUACUAAUGAACCGUGAGGCUUAACCUUACAACGCCGAAG
rnacentral:rRNA from 1 species